CAGCAGUGGGGAAUAUUGGACAAUGGACCAAGAGUCUGAUCCAGCAAUUCUGUGUGCACGAUGAAGUUUUUCGGAAUGUAAAGUGCUUUCAGUUGGGAAGAAGAAAGUGACGGUACCAACAGAAGAAGCGACGGCUAAAUACGUGCCAGCAGCCGCGGUAAUACGUAUGUCGCAAGCGUUAUCCGGAUUUAUUGGGCGUAAAGCGCGUCUAGGCGGUAUAGUAAGUCUGAUGUGAAAAUGCGGGGCUCAACUCCGUAUUGCGUUGGAAACUGCUAUGCUAGAGUACUGGAGAGGUAAGCGGAACUACAAGUGUAGAGGUGAAAUUCGUAGAUAUUUGUAGGAAUGCCGAUGGGGAAGCCAGCUUACUGGACAGAUACUGACGCUAAAGCGCGAAAGCGUGGGUAGCAAACAGGAUUAGA
rnacentral:rRNA from 1 species